rnacentral:rRNA from 1 species
AUGAACGCUAGCUACAGGCUUAACACAUGCAAGUCGAGGGGCAGCAUGAGCUCAGUUAUUCUGGGUUUGAUGGCGACCGGCGCACGGGUGAGUAACGCGUAUCCAACCUGCCCUUUACGCGGGGAUAGCCUUCUGAAAGGAAGUUUAAUACCCGAUGAAUUCGUUUAGUCGCAUGGCUUGAUGAAUAAAGAUUAAUUGGUAAAGGAUGGGGAUGCGUCCCAUUAGCUUGUUGGCGGGGUAACGGCCCACCAAGGCGACGAUGGGUAGGGGUUCUGAGAGGAAGGUCCCCCACAUUGGAACUGAGACACGGUCCAAACUCCUACGGGAGGCAGCAGUGAGGAAUAUUGGUCAAUGGGCGCGAGCCUGAACCAGCCAAGUAGCGUGGAGGACGACGGCCCUACGGGUUGUAAACUCCUUUUAUAAGGGGAUAAAGUUGGCCAUGUAUGGCCAUUUGCAGGUACCUUAUGAAUAAGCAUCGGCUAAUUCCGUGCCAGCAGCCGCGGUAAUACGGAAGAUGCGAGCGUUAUCCGGAUUUAUUGGGUUUAAAGGGAGCGUAGGCGGGCAGUCAAGUCAGCGGUCAAAUGGCGCGGCUCAACCGCGUUCCGCCGUUGAAACUGGCAGCCUUGAGUAUGCACAGGGUACAUGGAAUUCGUGGUGUAGCGGUGAAAUGCUUAGAUAUCACGAGGAACUCCGAUCGCGCAGGCAUUGUACCGGGGCAUUACUGACGCUGAGGCUCGAAGGUGCGGGUAUCAAACAGGAUUAGAUACCCUGGUAGUCCGCACAGUAAACGAUGAAUGCCCGCUGUCGGCGACAUAGUGUCGGUGGCCAAGCGAAAGCGUUAAGCAUUCCACCUGGGGAGUACGCCGGCAACGGUGAAACUCAAAGGAAUUGACGGGGGCCCGCACAAGCGGAGGAACAUGUGGUUUAAUUCGAUGAUACGCGAGGAACCUUACCCGGGCUUAAAUUGCAAAUGAAUUAUGGGGAAACCCAUACGCCGCAAGGCAUUUGUGAAGGUGCUGCAUGGUUGUCGUCAGCUCGUGCCGUGAGGUGUCGGCUUAAGUGCCAUAACGAGCGCAACCCCCCUCCCCAGUUGCCACCGGGUAAUGCCGGGCACUUUGGGGACACUGCCACCGCAAGGUGCGAGGAAGGUGGGGAUGACGUCAAAUCAGCACGGCCCUUACGUCCGGGGCGACACACGUGUUACAAUGGGGGGUACAGAGGGCCGCUGCCCGGUGACGGUUGGCCAAUCCCUAAAACCCCUCUCAGUUCGGACUGGAGUCUGCAACCCGACUCCACGAAGCUGGAUUCGCUAGUAAUCGCGCAUCAGCCAUGGCGCGGUGAAUACGUUCCCGGGCCUUGUACACACCGCCCGUCAAGCCAUGAAAGCCGGGGGUGCCUGAAGUCCGUGACCGCGAGGGUCGGCCUAGGGUAAAACCGGUGAUUGGGGCU